AUGGCCGACAGUCCUGUGUCGGAGCUGUUUACUGUGGCAGCUGAUGGUGGCCUAGACGGUGUGCAGCAGAGUUGACCAUGCAGGGCGCGGAGCACCAGGUGCUGGUGGGUGCAGUGAAGAGCCUCAGGCUCUGGGUGAGGUCACUGAGGCCGAGCUUCCUUCCACCAAGUGCUGGGAGCUGACGACUGGGGAUGAGGAGACUGCCCGGGAGGGCAGCCAUGAGGCCCAUGUGUUUAGAAGCAUCCCUCUUGAAGGCUUGGUGCAGAGGGAGCUUAUGCAACUGUCCAGAUGAGCAAGAUGGCCUUCUUCAGCAAGGCCAUGUCCAACCCGUGGAUCCAAGUGGACAAGAGCGCAGUCCACGGGCCCUGGGUGUUCCAAGUGGUGGACAGCGUAGAGGAUGAAAUACAGAGGCAGUUAUCGCUGGUCCAGGCAGGCCGGCCUGAGAGGCUGGCUGAAAAGGAAUGAGCUCAGGAAGAGGAAGCUGCUGACCGAAGUGAUCCUGAAAACCUACUGGGUGAGCCAGGGCGGGGCCUUCAGGGCAAGUGCGGCCAAGGCCAAGCGGGAGGCAGAGCUGAGCCCAGAGAUGAUCUCCAGUGGCUCCUGGAGGGACCGGCCCUUCAGGCCCUACAGCUUCUCUGCCCGAGGUGUGCUCUCAGAGCGUGGCCACCUUCUCCCCUUGCUCACGGUCCUCUCCCAGUUCUGGCAGAUCUUCCCGGAGAUGGGGUUCUCUGAGAUGCCUACAGACAACUUCAGUGAGAGCUCCCUCUGGAACCUGGAUGAGCUCUCCCAGCCUCAGCAGCACCCAGUGCGUGACCAAUAUGACACAUUCUUCCCGCGAGAGCUGGCUGAGUCCUUGUAGCUCCUAAUGGACUAUGUCCAUCGGGUGAACCGGACCCACUCCCAGGGCAGCUGUGGCUCACAGGGCUGCAAGUACCUGGAAGGUAGAUGAGGCUGGGAAAAAUCCGCUCCACACAUACCACAGAAGCCAGCGCCUGCACCCUUUGCUACUUAACCCAGAAGAAACCCUCCACACCAGCAAGCACUUCUCCACUGAUCGUGUGUUCCAGAAUGACAUGCUGGACGCCAUGCACCUGGCCAACUUCUACCAGAUCAAGGGGUGUGAGAGCCGACCACGGGAUCACCCUGGGUCACCUCAUGGGUGUGCUGAGGGAGUUCUUCACCAAGCUGGCGAUCACCCAGGUGUGCCUCAAGCCAGCCCACCACUCUUACUAGAGCCCAGCAUGGAGGUGCUCAGCUACCACCAACGUCUAAAGAAGUUGGGUAGAAGUUGGCAACUCUGGGGUCUUUUGCCCUGAGAUGCUCCUGCCCAUGGGGCUCCCUGAGAAUGUAUCUGUUAUGGUUCAAUAA